GACGAACGCUGGCGGCGUGCUUAACACAUGCAAGUCGAACGGUGAAGCGCCUUCCUUUUUGGUGGGUGUGGUUGAGUGGCGAACGGGUGAGUAACACGUGAGUAACCUGCCCCCUUCUUCUGGUUAACCGCAUGAAAGUGUGGCUAAUACGGGAUAUUCUGGGUCUUUCUCUUGAUUGGUCUUUGAACGUUAUUGUUUCGGUGGGGGAUGGUCUCGCGGACUAUCAGCUUGUUGGUGGGGUGAUGGCCUACCAAGGCGGUGAAGGGUAGCCGGCCUGAGAGGGUGGACGGAAACACGGGGGCAGAGACACGGCGAAGACGACUACGGGAGGCAGAAGGGGGGAAUAGAGCACAAUGGGAGCAAGGCAGAAGAAGGGAGGCCGGGUGAGGGAGGGAGGAAUGAGGGUUGUGAACAUCUAUGGGGAGUGAAGAAGGACUGAAUGGGUUGUGGGGGGGUUGACGGUAGCUGGAAAAGAAGCGACGGCUAACUACGUG
rnacentral:rRNA from 1 species